UGGGGAAUAUUGGACAAUGGGCGCAAGCCUGAUCCAGCCAUGCCGCGUGAGUGAUGAAGGCCCUAGAGUUGUAAAGCUCUUUCACCGGUGAAGAUAAUGACGGUAACCGGAGAAGAAGCCCCGGCUAACUUCGUGCCAGCAGCCGCGGUAAUACGAAGGGGGCUAGCGUUGUUCGGAUUUACUGGGCGUAAAGCGCACGUAGGCGGACUUUUAAGUCAGGGGUGAAAUCCCGGGGCUCAACCCCGGAACUGCCUUUGAUACUGGAAGUCUUGAGUAUGGUAGAGGUGAGUGGAAUUCCGAGUGUAGAGGUGAAAUUCGUAGAUAUUCGGAGGAACACCAGUGGCGAAGGCGGCUCACUGGACCAUUACUGACGCUGAGGUGCGAAAGCGUGGGGAGCAAACAGG
rnacentral:rRNA from 1 species